CAUGGCUGUCGUCAGCUCGUGUUGUGAAAUGUUGGGUUAAGUCCCGCAACGAGCGCAACCCUUAUCCUUUGUUGCCAGCGGUCCGGCCGGGAACUCAAAGGAGACUGCCAGUGAUAAACUGGAGGAAGGUGGGGAUGACGUCAAGUCAUCAUGGCCCUUACGACCAGGGCUACACACGUGCUACAAUGGCGCAUACAAAGAGAAGCGACCUCGCGAGAGCAAGCGGACCUCAUAAAGUGCGUCGUAGUCCGGAUUGGAGUCUGCAACUCGACUCCAUGAAGUCGGAAUCGCUAGUAAUCGUGGAUCAGAAUGCCACGGUGAAUACGUUCCCGGGCCUUGUACACACCGCCCGUCACACCAUGGGAGUGGGUUGCAAAAGAAGUAGGUAGCUUAACCUUCGGGAGGGCGCUUACCACUUUGUGAUUCAUGACUGGGGUGAAGUCGUAACAAGGUAACCGUAGGGGAACCUGC
rnacentral:rRNA from 2 species